GGAGUUAGCCGGUGCUUCUUCUGCGAGUAACGUCACAGAUGUAAGGUAUUAACUUACACCCUUUCCUCCUCGCUGAAAGUGCUUUACAACCCGAAGGCCUUCUUCACACACGCGGCAUGGCUGCAUCAGGGUUUCCCCCAUUGUGCAAUAUUCCCCACUGCUGCCUCCCGUAGUAGUCUGGGCCGUGUCUCAGUCCCAGUGUGGCUGAUCAUCCUCUCAGACCAGCUAGGGAUCGUCGCCUAGGUGAGCCUUUACCUCACCUACUAGCUAAUCCCACCUGGGCUUAUCCAUCAGCGCAAGGCCCGAAGGUCCCCUGCUUUCCCCCGUAGGCGUAUGCGGUAUUAGCAGUCGUUUCCAACUGUUAUCCCCGACAAAUGGGCAAAUUCCCAGGCAUUACUCACCCGUCCGCCGCUCGUCAUCUUCAAAGCAAGCUUUUGAAUGUUACCGCUCGACUUGCAUGUGUUAGGCCUGCCGCCAGCGUUCAAUCUGAGCCAGAUCGAACCCUGA
rnacentral:rRNA from 1 species